rnacentral:rRNA from 1 species
AACGAACGCUGGCGGCAUGCCUAACACAUGCAAGUCGAACGAGAUCCUUCGGGGUCUAGUGGCGCACGGGUGCGUAACGCGUGGGAAUCUGCCCUUAGGUUCGGAAUAACAGUUAGAAAUGACUGCUAAUACCGGAUGAUGACGUUAAGUCCAAAGAUUUAUCGCCUGAGGAUGAGCCCGCGUAGGAUUAGCUAGUUGGUGUGGUAAAGGCGCACCAAGGCGACGAUCCUUAGCUGGUCUGAGAGGAUGAUCAGCCACACUGGGACUGAGACACGGCCCAGACUCGUACGGGAGGCAGCAGUGGGGAAUAUUGGACAAUGGGCGCAAGCCUGAUCCAGCAAUGCCGCGUGAGUGAUGAAGGCCUUAGGGUUGUAAAGCUCUUUUACCCGGGAUGAUAAUGACAGUACCGGGAGAAUAAGCCCCGGCUAACUCCGUG